rnacentral:rRNA from 1 species
GAUGAACGCUGGCGGCGUGCCUAACACAUGCAAGUCGAGCGGACGGACGAUGCUUUUGCUUUGCUUCUGCUAGGGGCGGGCGGGUGAUUCCCACGAGUAUACCCUACCUAUAAGACUGAGAUCACUUCGCGAACCCGGAUCUCACACCCGAUAAGAUUUUGAACCUCGUGGUUCUUCGGUGCGCUCCGGUUUUGCUGUCACUAGUAGGGGGAUCCUCGCUGCAUUAGCUAGUUGGUACGGUAACGGCCUACCAAGGCUACGCUGCGUAGCCGACCUGAGAGGAUGAUCGGCCACACUGGAACUGAGACACGGUCCAGACUCCUACGGGAGGCAGCAGUAGGGAAUCUUCGGCAAUGGGCGAAAGCCUGACGCAGCAAUGCCGCGUGUGUGAAGAAGGUCUUCGGAUCGUAAAGCACUGUUAGUAGGGAAGAACAGCUGUGUAAUAAAACGUGGCCAUUUUGACGGUACCUAAUGAAUAAGCACCGGCUAACUACGUG